GUUGGUUAAGUCCCGCAACGAGCGCAACCCCUAUUGUUAGUUGCCAUCAUUCAGUUGGGCACUCUAGCGAGACUGCCGGUAAUAAACCGGAGGAAGGUGGGGAUGACGUCAAAUCAUCAUCGCCCCUUAUGACCUGGGCUACACACGUGCUACAAUGGUUGGUACAACGAGUUGCGAGUCGGUGACGGCGAGCUAAUCUACUUAAAGACCAAUCUCAGUUCGGAUUGUAGGCUGCAACUCGCCUACAUGAAGUCGGAAUCGCUAGUAAUCGCGGAUCAGCACGCCGCGGUGAAUACGUUCCCGGGCCUU
rnacentral:rRNA from 1 species